rnacentral:rRNA from 1 species
UCGGGAAUUUUGGGCAAUGGGGGGAAACCCUGACCCAGCAACGCCGCGUGAAGGAUGAAGUAUUUCGGUAUGUAAACUUCGAAAGAAUAGGAAGAAUAAAUGACGGUACUAUUUAUAAGGUCCGGCUACCUACGUGCCAGCAGCCGCGGUAAUACGUAGGGACCAAGCGUUGUUCGGAUUUACUGGGCGUAAAGGGCGCGUAGGCGGCAUGACAAGUCACUUGUGAAAUCUCUGGGCUUAACCCAGAACGGCCAAGUGAUACUGUCGCGCUAGAGUGCAGAAGGGGCAAAUCGGAAUUCUUGGUGUAGCGGUGAAAUGCGUAGAUAUCAAGAGGAACACCUGAGGUGAAGACGGGUUGCUGGGCUGGACACUGACGCUGAGGCGCGAAAGCCAGGGGAGCAAACGGGGAUUAGAUACCCACGUAGUCCCUG